rnacentral:rRNA from 1 species
UACGUAGGGGGCAAGCGUUGUCCGGAAUCAUUGGGCGUAAAGCGCGUGUAGGCGGCUCGGUAAGUCCGCUCUGAAAGUCCGGGGCUCAACCCCGGGAGGCGGGUGGAUACUGUCGAGCUAGAGUCCGGAAGAGGCGAGUGGAAUUCCUGGUGUAGCGGUGAAAUGCGUAGAUAUCGGGAGGAACACCGGUGGCGAAGGCGGGUCUCUGGGCAGUAACUGACGCUGAGGAGCGAAAGCGUGGGGAGCGAACAGG